UGCCUUAGUGGCCGAACCUUUGUGGCGAGUCAAGGUGGUGCCUUGGAAGAGAUUUGGUGACCGGGAAGGAAUACUCUUGUGUGAGUGCUUCAACAACGUGGACUAGUGGUGGCUUAGUGCCUACCGAUACCACAGGAAAAAUCCUUGUGUCAAGAGUUUGCUUGCUCUCAUCCCCUCCUUAUAUUUCCGCAUUUCAUACUUGCAACUUGUGUGCCUUUACUUUCCUGGAGUAGUAUCUUGAUAGGAUUGGCUAUAGGUUGUAAAACUUAUUUUGGGAUGAGGGUCUCACACUAGAUCAACCAUAGAUUGCACUUUUAGAUAGCAUGAUCUAGUUUAUGUUUUGAUGCAAAAUAGUGGAAGCCAUAGGUUAAGUUUUUAAGUUUCCUAAUUCACCCCUUCCCCCUCUUAGGCUAC
rnacentral:lncRNA from 1 species